CGGAGAGGGCGCAUGAGAAACGGCUACCACUUCUAAGGAAGGCAGCAGGCGCGCAAACUACCCAAUCCUGACUCAGGGAGGUAGUGACAAGAAAUAACAAUAAACCGGCUUAUGCCGGUUUAAUUGGAAUGAGUACAAUUUAAACAUCUUAACGAGGAACAAUUGGAGGGCAAGUCUGGUGCCAGCAGCCGCGGUAAUUCCAGCUCCAAUAGCGUAUACUAAAGUUGUUGCAGUUAAAAAGCUCGUAGUUGGAUUUCUGCGGGGACGGAGCGGCCGGUCGCAACUUGCGACUCGAGCUAGCGCUUUCCCCGCAUCCUGCCGCGAACCGUGCUACCAUUAGCUUGGUGGCGCUGGGGAUCGGCUCGAUUACUUUGAGAAAAAUAGAGUGUUCAAAGCAGGCCACACGCCUUGAAUAAGUUAGCAUGGAAUAAUGACUAAGGACUUCGGUUCUAUUUUGUUGGUGUUCGGGACUGAAGUAAUGAUUGAUAGGGACAGUUGGGGCGGUCUGUAUUCCAAAGCGAGAGGUGAAAUUCUUAGACCUUCGGAAGACAAACAGCUGCGAAAGCGUUCCGCAAGGAUGUUCCCUUUGAUCAAGAACGAAAGUUGGGGGAUCGAAGACGAUCAGAUACCGUCGUAGUCUCAACUAUAAACUAUACCAGCUAGGGAUCGGUCAACGUUUAAUCGUUCGACUUGAUCGGCACCUUAUGAGAAAUCAAAGCAUCUGGGUUCCGGGGGGAGUAUGGUCGCAAGGCUGAAACUUAAAGGAAUUGACGGAAGGGCACCACCAGCCGUGGAGCCUGUGGCUUAAUUUGACUCAACACGGGAAAACUUACCAGGUCCAGACAUAGUAAGGAUUGACAGAUUGAUAGCUCUUUCUUGAUUCUGUGGGUGGUGGUGCAUGGCCGUUCUUAGUUGGUGGAGUGAUUUGUCUGGUUAAUUCCGUUAACGAACGAGACCCCAGCCUGCUAAAUAGCGCGGCUGAGCUUUGCUCGGUGCGAGCUUCUUAGAGGGACUAUGAUGCGCGAUAGCACAUGGAAGUUUGGGGCAAUAACAGGUCUGUGAUGCCCUUAGAUGUUCUGGGCCGCACACGGGCUACACUGGCGCCUGCAACGAGCAUAUCAGCUGGCCCGAGAGGGUCUUGGCUAAUCUUUUGAACCGGCGCCGUGCUUGGGAUUGACCAUUGCAAUUGUUGGUCAUGCAACGAGGAAUGCCUUGUAAACGCAAGUCAUCAGCUCGCAUUGAAUACGUCCCUGCCCUUUGUACACACCGCCCGUCGCUCCUACCGAUGAAUGUUCCGAUGAAAUUUUCGGAGAGCGCCAGAGAACGGGGCUCCGCCUUGCAGAUCUGGAGGCUCAAAGUCACUUAAAUCUGAACAUUUCGAGGAAGGAGAAGUCGUAACAAGGUAACC
rnacentral:rRNA from 1 species